ensembl:scaRNA
AGUCAAUGAUGAAGGGUAAAAGGUUUGAGUCUCCAGAUCCCCUCCCAGCGUCGCAGUUAUCCCCAGCUGCCACUCCCCCAUUGGGCUUCCAAAGUCAGAAUUGCUGUGAUGGGCAGAAGGGCAGCUGACACUCAGUGAUGUCCCAUUCUGUGUUCCUCCGUGUGCUCAGGGAAGAUGCUGGUUGGCAUCCAAUAGCUUAGUCCCAAAGGGAUUUGAUUGUUGGGAAUGCCGGUAUCUGUGGCUAUGCUCUGACUUGUUAAAGCUAAGACC